rnacentral:misc_RNA from 1 species
GAACCGAGAGAUAAGAAACUGAGUCAAACAAACUCAGUUGAAACUUCUCCAACUCCAUAUCUAGUUUACUUUACUACAGUCUCCUGAUACAAGGAUGGGGAAAUGUUUGUCUGUAUGCAGACACCGAGACGAGAAUGAAAACGAUUCAGCGGAGAAAUCAGAUCAGGAUCAAUCUUUCCAGGAGAAACAGAGAAGAAAAACCAGAGAUGAACACAGGAGAAGGAUCAGUUCGGGAGAAACUGAUAGGAAACGAGUGGUUGGAGAGGGAGGAGAUGAUGAACGACAAGUUAAACACCAAGGACGGAGAAGAAAGAGCUCCGGGUUGUCUAGAUACUCAGGAGACGGAAGACAUGUCGUAGAAAACCCUUUUUCUAUCGCAGCGUUUAAUGUGAAAAGGUUUGGAGUUUCCAAGAUGUCUGACCCAAAGAUUGUUGACAUUCUGGUGAGUCUUGUUACUAGUUUCGACGUUAUGUUGAUCCAGGAGGUAGUGGAUGUAUCCGGGAAGGCUGUGAAAGCACUCCUUCAGGCGGUUAACGAUGCCAGUAAAGACCAAGGAGAGUAUGAUGUUCUGGUUUCGGACCGAGUUGGUAGAACAAACCAGAAGGAGCAGUAUGCAGUUUACUUCAGGAAAGCCAAGGUUCAAAUUCUGGAUAGUUCAGUGUAUUCAGAUCCCGGAGAUGUUUUUAUCCGGGAACCAUUAAUAGUGAGAAUGAAGUGUAAUACUGUUAUACCGGGAGCAAGUGAACUCACAAUGAUCUGUAUACAUACUCAACCUAAAUCCGCAAACAAGGAAAUAGAUCAGCUCUACGAAGUUCACAAACACGUGACAGGAACUCUUGGUGCAAAGAACGUUAUUCUUCUUGGAGAUUUUAACGCUGGAGGAACCUAUAUACGGAGCCAGGACUGGGAGACAAACAGAUUGAGAGGAGAUGAGUUUAACUGGCUUAUUCCUGAUCAUAUGGAUACAACUACAACCAACACUCUCGCAGCUUAUGACAGGAUUGUAGUAUGGGGAGAGGAGCUUUUAAAAGCCGUAGUUCCUAACUCCGCCCAAGUUUACAGAUUCGAUCAAGCCCUUGGUAUUGACCAGGAUACACUAAACAAGGUUUCGGAUCACUACCCGGUUGUAUUCUCUCUUCAAACCUGUGUCCAUCCUACUCUAGAGAAGAAUAUCAGAAAGAAGAUAAGUUUUAUGUUCACGGAUAAACGGUUCCCGGAGAUAAAUCCUCAAACCUUGCUCAACGAUGUCAAAAUUCACAAGUUUAAGACUCGUAGUUUAUACGAUGAGACAGGAGCCUUAAAGAUAGUAGAGCUCAGAUCCCACAAGAUUAGUAAACUCUCUGAAGUAGGUUCUCACCUAGAGAAACUACGAGCAGAGAAUAAAAACCUUCUCUCCUACUCUGUCCUCGCUGCGUUGCAACACGAGCUUAAGUUGGUUGAAUCUGCUAAGGGUAAGCUGAGUGAGGAGGAGAAAGGAAAAUAUUUGAUCCUGCUAGUUCUAGACCUGGAGCUUAAGAAUCUAACUUGCUCGGUUGAGAUUCAGACCAAUCUGAACCAGGGCGUUAUCCUAGCUGGGUAGGCCUACAUACAGAGGCCUCUGAGAACAGCGACAUCUAUAAACUUUUUUGUUAUAUAGUUAUUUUGGACCUUUGUAGUCUUUUUUUUCUUUAAGAGAAUGUAAACGUCUCAUUCACAACGCGGGCACCUAAAAUUCCACAGUCUUUUAAAGAGCCGAAUUAAUUUUAUGUAAACUAACCCUCUUUAAGCUUUGUACACCUACCUGAAGGAUAUUUUAUAUGUAUUUAAAAGUUUAUAUGUAGUAUGUAUCCUUUGCGCUUUUUAUUAUAAACCACCCAAACGCCAAAUAUCUACUGUUGUUGUAGCCAUUGAACCAUAGUUGCGUAUUUGGACAUGGAAAUAUCUUCUAUAACUCCGUCCCGUCAACGUCGACAGAACUCAAUUUUAUUGGAAAAUGUUUUAGUCGAAAACCAAUAGGUUUGGUCCUAUUAACUUGGUUUAG